UACAGAGGUCUCAAGCGUUGUUCGGAAUUACUGGGCGUAAAGCGUGCGCAGGCGGUUUGCUAAGACAGGUGUGAAAUCCCCGGGCUUAACCUGGGAAUGGCAUUUGGGACUGCAAGGCUGGAGUGCGGCAGAGGAGACUGGAAUUCCUGGUGUAGCAGUGAAAUGCGUAGAUAUCAGGAGGAACACCGAUGGCGAAGGCAGGUCUCUGGGCUGACACUGACGCUCAUGCACGAAAGCGUGGGGAGCAAACAGG
rnacentral:rRNA from 1 species